GACGAACCGUGCGAACGUUGUUCGGAAUUACUGGGCGUAAAGCGCACGUAGGCGGACUGUUAAGUCGGGGGUGAAAUCCUGGGGCUCAACCUCAGAAUUGCCUCCGAUACUGGCAGUCUCGAGUGCGGGAGAGGUGAGUGGAAUUCCCAGUGUAGAGGUGAAAUUCGUAGAUAUUGGGAAGAACACCAGUGGCGAAGGCGGCUCACUGGCCCGUAACUGACGCUGAGGUGCGAAAGCGUGGGGAGCAAACAGG
rnacentral:rRNA from 1 species